GACGAACGCUGGCGGCGUGCUUAACACAUGCAAGUCGAACGAUGAACCCGGAGCUUGCUCCGGCGGAUUAGUGGCGAACGGGUGAGUAACACGUGAGUAACCUGCCCUUGACUCUGGGAUAACUGCGGGAAACUGUAGCUAAUACCGGAUACGACCCUCGGCGGCAUCGCCAGGGGGUGGAAAGCAUUUCGGUCAAGGAUGGACUCGCGGCCUAUCAGCUAGUUGGUGAGGUAACGGCUCACCAAGGCGACGACGGGUAGCCGGCCUGAGAGGGUGACCGGCCACACUGGGACUGAGACACGGCCCAGACUCCUACGGGAGGCAGCAGUGGGGAAUAUUGCACAAUGGGCGCAAGCCUGAUGCAGCAACGCCGCGUGAGGGAUGACGGCCUUCGGGUUGUAAACCUCUUUUAGUAGGGAAGAAGCGAAAGUGACGAUACCUGCAGAAAAAGCACCGGCUAACUACGUGCCAGCCGCCGCUGUAA
rnacentral:rRNA from 1 species